UACGUAGGGGGCAAGCGUUGUCCGGAAUUAUUGGGCGUAAAGGGCGCGUAGGCGGUCAGCACAAGUCAGUUGUGAAAUCUCCGGGCUUAACUCGGAAAGGUCAACUGAUACUGUGCGACUAGAGUGCAGAAGGGGCAACUGGAAUUCUCGGUGUAGCGGUGAAAUGCGUAGAUAUCGAGAGGAACACCUGCGGCGAAGGCGGGUUGCUGGGCUGACACUGACGCUGAGGCGCGAAAGCCAGGGGAGCGAACGGG
rnacentral:rRNA from 1 species